UCUCCGUAGGUGAACCUGCGGAGGGAUCAUUACCGAGUGAGGGCUCACGCCCGACCUCCCACCCUUUGUGAACCCAUCUUGUUGCUUCGGGGGCGACCCUGCCGGCACUCUGUCGCCGGGCGCCCCCGAAGGUCUCCAAACACUGCAUCUUUGCGUCGGAGUUUAAAACAAAUUAACCACAACUUUCAACAGCGGAUCUCUUGGUUCUGGCAUCGAUGAAGAACGCAC
rnacentral:misc_RNA from 1 species